rnacentral:misc_RNA from 1 species
GAGAAUCUUUGUGGGUACGUGGAAUGUUGCGGGAAGAUCUCCUGUGGGAAGUCUAGCUGUAGAUUUGGAUGAGUGGCUAAAUCUGAAAGAAGCAGCAGAUAUUUAUGUUCUUGGCUUCCAGGAAAUAGUCCCUCUAAAGCCUAAAACUGUAAUUGGAGCAGAAGAUCCAACAGAAGCUACUAACUGGAAUGUGCUCGUCGGUAAAACUCUAAAUAGCAAGUAUGGUGGUGCCUGGUUAACACCCAUGGUCAAUCCAAUCACCAAUGAUAAUUAUCGAUAUGAUCAAGCCACUGAAUCAGAUAGUAGACUGAGGAAUGACUACGAAAUAGUUUCAGCAAGAGGUCAGUCUAGAACUGAAUAUAAGCUCUCAGAUUGUGUUGGUAGUUACAAAUUGAUGGCUAGCAAGAAGAUGGUUGGUGUCUUCAUUAGUGUGUGGAUGAGAAGGACAUUGCUAAAGAAGUAUUGUGUCUCCGAAGUAAAGGUCUCUUCAGUAGCUUGCGGCAUUAUGGGCUAUUUGGGAAACAAAGGAUCCGUCUCUGUGAGCAUGUCCAUAGGAGGAACUAGUUUUUGCUUUGUGGCAGCUCACUUAGCCUCAGGAGAAAAGAAAGGUGAUGAAGGGAAGAGGAACCGUCAAGUCACCGAGAUUUUUAGGAGAACGUCUUUCCCCCGGCUGACAGAAGACUGCCAUAAAAA